GAAGACCGGGGCGAGUACACACACACAUGCACCCACCCCCCCCUCGACUGGAAGGAAAAGCCGGUGUGUGGACUGACUGGCCCUGCGCAAGGCGAUCAAGAGUUGAAGCCACUCUGUCCUUCUGACGGUCAACAUGGUCCUUCGCUUUUCU